rnacentral:lncRNA from 1 species
AUGCCAGAGUACAGUAUAUGUUCCCUUUUAUGCUGUCAUUUUUCCUUCCAGGGCACACUCUGUGGUGCAGUGGAACAGUCUGACUGCUGCCUCCGAAGGAGCAUUUACAGGAAUAAGUUUGAGCUGACCUGUGUGGGACCCAGGCAGGUGAUUGUGAAGAACCUGGCAUCAGGGACCCACGUGGUGCUCAAGUCUCACCAUGGCUAUGAGGUGGAAGAGGUGAAAAUCCUGGGAAAGGAGCAUUAUUUGGUGGUGCACAUAGCAGAUAUGCUGCUGCUGGGAGACCUGAACACAAAUCGCCUUAGUGAGGUAGCCUGGCAGGGGUCUGGCGGCAAUGAAAAGUAUUUCUUUAAAAAUGAGAAUGUACCGGGGAUCGAACUCAGGACCUUGUGAUUGCAUUGCGGCAGAACCACUGAGCUAAAUCCCCAGCCCUGUCUCCUUUUCUUGACAGUGGAUCUGAUUGGUGGCUACAACAUUGGUACCAUAAGUCAUGAGAGCCGUCUGGAUUGGCUGGACCUUAAUGAGACUGGGCACAAACUCCUCUUCAGGAACCGGAAACUUCGUGUGAGGAUUACUAGGGUCUUAGGCCUUGGCUGGCCCACAGAGGGUGUGACACAAGCUUGUAGGGGGCUCUACAGAGUAUAAUUUCAUUGUAUAGGCCAGUGAUGGUGAAACUUUUAGAGCUUUCGAUGAUACAAACAGCCUGCUGUGGCAUGUGUGCCCUAGUUACCUGAAGUCAUAGGAGUUGGCGUGAGGAGUUUCCCCCUUACCCCUUUGUUGGGAGCAAUGCUACAUAAUUCUAGGGAAAAAUCAUUUGUUUAGGCCUAGUUCUUUCUGCCUACAGGCCAGCUCUGGCAUACUGAGACCUAAUUCCAUUUUGGCCUUGGGUCACAACUGAGACCUUAGUGAUCCUGUGAUGCUCCAGGGCAAGACCACACCUGCGGGAGACACCCUGGGAGGAACCAAAUCUUCUUCUGCACAGUUCCUCAUUGUUCUUGGAUUGCCACCGCCGCCCCCCCCCCUUUUUUUUCACCUUGUUUAUCCCAAAGUGAAGUACUGAAAUCUACAUAUUCAUUUGUUACAUUUGUUUCUCCUCAGUACUGAAUAAAAGCUGCUGCAAGCUAGGGGUCUUUGUCUUUGCCAUCCAGAACAGCACUGAUCAGCCCCAAAGCUCAGCUUCUUCUCAGUCUCAUUUUUCUACCUUUCCUGUAAUUCACCUUGUACUGCUGUGGCUCACAGGAGACUAGGACUUACUGAAGAGGUUCUGGUAACAUCUCCUUACACCCCUUCUCGAUUAUCAUCUCAGUAUGCUUUCACCAAAAAGUUCAGCCUUGGGAUCAGAGAGACAAUCUGAUGAUUGUUCAUGUCAGUGAAAGCCAUGCCACAAAUUUCCACAUCGUCUAAUUUGUGUGUUGGCCUCAAUUUUAUAAUCCAAGCUGGUAAAUCUGGCCUAGAGUCAUUCUAACAAUGACAGGCUGACACGAGUCUUUGUUGUUUUGGUCAUCUCUUAUUUGACCAGAGUUAGGCUCUAUCAACUCUGCAUAAACUUCAAGGGCUUUGGGUCAGUAAGCUUCGAAAUUCACCAGGUACUGGCUAGUGGGUCUUUUUACCAUUGGAGAAAUGAUCAAAUGAGAAGACACUCUCUCACCCUCGUCUAAUUGUACUGUGUGCCUCCUCCUUUUUCAGUUGCAUCUGUAUGAUAUCCGAAAGCUGCUCUAAGACAAUGAUCCUCAACUUCUGCUCCUACAUGCAGUGGGUUCCUGGAAGUGAUGUCCUGGUAGCUCAGAAUGUGGGACCAAAAUGACUCCAUUUUGGAGCCGUCUCCUUUGUUCUCUCAAAUUUGUGCUUAAACUAGGAAUUCACCACUUGAAAUUCCUGAGUUUAUUACCCAACCACCUGUGUACCCGGGGAGAGAGCGUUCCAGGCACACUAUCUAUAAGAUAAGCAGUUAAUGAGCUAACUAUCCACACAAGAUAGAUGCGGCCAUUAGUGGGUCUGCUAACGAUCAGUAUGUAACAACCGGCCGUUAAUCUUUGCCCCUUUUCUCCCUCACAAAAACCAAUACGUAAUCCCCUUCGACCCCCAAAGCCUAGCCAACCAAAACCCUACACUUCAUAUGUAUUGAGUAUUAACCAAUCACCUGGCUACUAAUAACCAAAGCUUGUUGUAUUCUCAAUAAAAACCCUGCUAGUUAGGGACUCAGGGCUCUCAAUCUCGAUCCGCUGUGUCGGUGACAGUUGAGAGUCCCUGCUUAAGCUUGAAUAAACGACCCUUGUGUGCUUACAUCGGAAACGGCCUCCUGGUGGUCUCUGGGACUUCACAAUCUGGGCACAACACCAGAUAUGGAAAUGAAUUCAGAAUUGAUCAGAUUUAGGAAUACCAUGAUAACCAAAUAAUUCAUGAUAAUUACACUCAUAAGAAAAUUGCAUGUAAACC